GAGCGGGCGCCCGGGGCGCGGGGUCGGGGGCCGCGCGCUAGCUGGCCGCGGCGCCCGGAGCUCGGAGCACCCCCUUCCCCUCCCCCCUCCGCCCCCCAGAAAUGUUGCAAACUUUUGCAGCCUGUUCUCGGGUUGCGGGAGGAGAGGGGGGCGGGGGAGGCGGCAGGAGGGUUGACAGCCGGCGGGCUCACCCCCCUGGCUUUGAUUUUUUUCUGCAAAGAGAGGAAGAAAGCCGCGUUGCUCAAAUUAAAUACUCUCCCCCAAAAUACGGAGGACCGGAGAGUGGGGGCCCGGGAAAGAAACUUUUAAAGCGGCAGUGUCCUUUUAAGAAGGGGGGGAAAAAUCCUUUUGAUGGCCAUCCUCCUCCCCUUUUACCUUUUCUCCUCUUGACAGUUUCGGCCCGGGCAGCCUGAGACAUGGUGGGUUUUCGACCCCCCGCAGAGGUGAAAGGGGUGUUAGAAGUGAGAGAUAAGGGCAGCCCCCCCUCCCCCGGGGUGGAAAGGGAGCGCUUCUGGACUUGGGGCGGGGGAGCGACGUGGGUACCUUCCCUGGAGCACUGUCGUGGAUUUGGGAUUUGGAAAUAGGGCUGGGGGAAGCGGGGUGCUGGCGCGUGAGGGGCUCGCCAAGUUGUCUGGCGGGCGCCGCGAGGGGAGGUGCGCAAGUUUGCAGACCCGGGGUUCGCAGCCCAGCGCCCAGGCUGGCGGGGGGCGUGUGCGCGUCAGCGCGCCCGGGGCGGCGGCGGCGGUCCUGUGGGGCGCUCCACGCGCAUUCGGAGUGAGCGUCUGCAAAAGCAAACAAGCAGAAAAAGAAAGAUCGCAAGGCACCCAAACUUAUUUCAGCCCUGGGAAAUCCUUCCCUCGCCAAGCGUUUCUGCAAGAACCUGGGAAUGGUCAGUGCGAGUUGAAUGCUUGUUGGAUAGUGCGAUCGAUGCCCCCCACCCCGGGCAAUGUUUUACACACUUCAUUUGUAGGAUCUGUGUGCGUGUGUCUGUUUGGUGGGGGGGGGGGGGCGGCUCCAUGACCCCUCCUUGCUUUUUUUCUAAUUAAAGUGGAGUGUUGGGAAAAGCUUACCCUCUUUCCUCUUUUUUAAAGGUAUGGGAAACUGGUGUGGGGUUUUUCUUGGGGGGGGGGGGGCGGUUAUUUGAAAACGCCCAGAGUUUAUAAAGAACAGGAGGAAGCUACGGCUUUAAUUACUGUUGUAAAUAAUGUAUAAAUCACGCCUGUCACUCCGGAGGAAGCCAGCUCGCACGAGCCGCCCAGGGCUGGGGGACAGAGAUCUCCAGCCCCGGCUUGGGCACUGGCCCAGCGGACCCCCUCCUCUUGCCACUCAGCUUCAGGCAGAGAUGGGGAGAGCUGGAAGAGGCAAGUGGGGGCCCCAGAGCCCCUCCUUUCCUCUCAAUGUUAGAGUUGGAGGUAGGAAUAUGGCUGAUCAUGUGCUGGCUGUUUUACAGUAUUCCCCCCCCCCCAACCCCACCUUAGCCACACCCCCUGUCCAGGCGCUUUCCCAUUCACGGAAUUCGAGUACAGUAAAAGCCAUCAGGAUGACACAUACGAAAAACAUUUAAUUAAAGGCGAUUUCGGAAGAGCGAACACAUCAAAUCGCUGUUUAAGGGAGAGGGAGGGGGCAGCGAGGGUCGGGAGUAUAGGAAGGGGGAUGGGGCCGGGGGCCGGGACCUGCCGCUAGCUGGGUGAGUUUGUGUGUAGAGAGCUUUUGGCUGCGAAGAGUAUAUUUAGACCUGAGACGGUGGAUUUGGAAUGCGAGCGGGUUAUGUAACAGGGUUAAUCAGAAACACUGGAGAAAAUCCCCUUCAUGUGUUUCUGAGGCUUUUUUUUUUUUUUUUUUGGAAGAAGGGUCCAUAGUAUGUAGGAAGCCGCACUCAUUUCUGGUUUGUGCUGCCACCCCCUCUGUCUUAGCCAUCCCCCUCCCGUGUGUUAUUAGCAUCUUCAGGUGUCAUUCUUGCCAGAAGGUGUUCUUGCAAGAGAUCAGGGUGGCAGGCUGCAGAACCGACUAGCAAAUCCGUAACUUGCUGUUCUUGCAAAUUAUAUAACCGAUGGGGCUUUCUCGGUACCACCAGCCCUGGCGGCUCAGCAACAAGGGAAGAGGGACAAAGUGCAGAUAGGAUGCAUCUUGUGCAACUGACCUGCUGACCCACAUCCCCUUGCCCCCUAGUGGGCCACCCCCCAGUCCCUCUUCUUUGAACCCACCUCUUGUCCAUCCCUCCGGAGAGUUAAUGGGGGGAGGGAGAGGAGGUAAGGCCCAAACACUCAACUCACAUCCUGCACGCAGGCACUCGGUUAUAUAACAGUCUGAAUGGAAAAGGAAGGUCAGAGAUGGAGGCAUCCUUUAGCUAACACAGCAGUAGUAAUAGCUUCCAGAAAUUAUGUGCAUUUGCAGACUUUAACCUCAGAUGUACUGUCUGCUCCUUGGGGGUACCAAUCUUUGUGCAUGUGAGCUAGGGAGAAAAAGAGGGAAUGUGUAAGUAUGCUCAGUAGAUGAGAGUGAUUUGAAAAUGGGAAAUGUUUGGGUUUUCAGAUGAUGUAAUGGAAUUGGCAGAAUAUGCAAGUCGGCUCCCAGAGUGUAAGCAGCAAGAAAAUUGGAGCUGGCAUCCAGUAUUAAUGUUGCAUAAAUUACAAUAUCGGAAAGAAAUUAACCUACACACUAGGUGAUUACGCCUUUUUAAUACUUAAAGCAUACAGGCACACAACGCAAAAGGAAAAGCAAACACCGUCACCUUAAAAUCAGCAUUUUCAACCUCAAGGAGGGUUGAGUGGAGACCUUGGCCUUGGGUGAGGAGAGCCGCUUUCUGAUCUGGGGGAUGCUUUCCUGGGAGGUAGCAGGGUUAGCUUCCAGGCAGCCAGUGUUUGCAGUCUGCUGAGAUUGUGGUCAGGAUUCUCAUGACAUUGAGGUGACCUCAUGAGACAUUACCUAGGUAGACUUGAAGCUAUUGCUGGAUUCCAAACUCCUGGGAAUCCACGGGUGAAUGGACCAUGCACCGUUAGUGCCUGCACUUCCAAAAGCAAAUAUGUGACUUUUUAAUCUGAAAGACGGCCUCCCUUUCUUUUUACAACGGGGCAGGGUAUGUUAGCAUUUUCAGCAGAACUGUUUUGUUUUCAGGGUGUUUUUAAUGAUGGCUAUUGUUGUUCAGCCCAUCUUCUCAGCCCAAUGAAAGGGAAGAAAGGCAGGAGACAACAUGGGAAGUAAAAAUGAAGCGGAAGAACCACAGCGAAUCUUUAAUUUAACAAGGCUUUCAGGGGCUUCAGGGAGCCCUGAGCAUUGUGACAUAACUGUUGUUAAAAACCCUCUUCCAGAAUCUCAUUAGUAUAUGCAUGCCAGAAACUUACACAUUCUACCUCCCUAAAGUUAUCGUCAGGGGGCUGUGUGCCACACCAUUGGUCUGGAACACUGGAACACCGGUGCUGCAGGUGGAUGGCUGAUAGGGCAGGCUGACCUAAGGGGAAAAUCAAAGCCAAAAGAUGGGAUUAACACCAAAAAGCUCAGUUGGGUUGAGAUCGAACCCCCUGGAAGCUGAGCUUAGAUUGACUUAAAAUCAGUUAACAAGUUUAGUUGUAGCCCUGAGGACUUCUAGACCCACAGGAAUCUUUGCCUCUCAAAGUACUUCUCCACAAUUCACCACUUCAGUCUUGGCUGAUUCACUUUCUGGUCGGUGCUCUUGCCUGGCAAUUUCGAGCGUUUUCUAGAGAUUGAUUCUCAGAUGAGCUUUUCUUACGUGGACCUGGCUCUCCCCAGUGAACAAAUGAUGCCCUGUAGUUUGAAAGAGCUACUGGCUGGGAUAAAAUUCUGUGCCAGGGGGAUGGAAUAAUUAUUUUUUAAACUAAGGGACUUUCAUUUUCCAGUAAAUUGCUCAUAAAAACAUUUAUAAUUAUACCCUUUAAAAAUGUAAUAGAAUAAUUUUAGAAAAUGCAUUUGAGGAUGAUUAUGAAAACCUUUUCUGUUGCUUCCCCCUUCUUUCUUAAAAAGAAUUGAAUUAUUAAUCCAGAAGUCAAAUCCUGAGUGGCUAAAAACAUUUACAGCAGACAUUUUUUUAAAAAUAUUAGUCACCUGCUGGAAUUUUCCAAAAUCUUCUGGUGUUAAGAGGAGCCCUUGGCUUUAGAAAACAUCUCUGUUUCUGAAACUGAAAUAUGGAGGUUGCAGGGAUGGACCCCCCUCACCAAGAGACAUGAUGCUUGUGUUUUCAAGUCAGUAGAGCUGGGGGUUACAGUGCAUACUGCUGUUUCUACACCAGACUCCUAAGAGGGAUGUAGGGAGGUAUAGGAUUGUUAAUUGCAAUAGAUAGUGCCUCCAGAUGCAGAUAUUCAGAAGGUCUUUGGUGACAGCUGAAUCAUUUUUGAAAGCAAACUGACUCCUAUCCAGAGCUAGCCUUUGGACUGUGAAUCAGGCAAGCCCAGGUGUUCUCCAUGAGCCAUACUGUCUGUCACUUCUGAGUUAAGAUGCACAGUUUUCUCCUGAUUCUCCCAUUUUUACCUUGAGGAAGUUCUGGUGUGAUGUCGGAUGUUGGGUGUUGCUUAGAACCCUGUUGAUGGAGUGUGGUCCAUUAUAGCACGUACCACUUUUUCUGAAGGUGCUCUCCCCAACCCCCACUAUUUUUCCAGUCUCCUUCUAAGCUCAUCUAUGUAUUUCUGUCUGUGGAAGCAAAAUACUUAACUACAUUUCAGGUAUCUGGGGAGAGAGUUGUAAUGUGAUUGCCCCACGUGCAAAAUUUUUUAUAGAAAAUGUCACUGUUCUCAAAUGUCAUGUCCUCUUUGUCUUGUACAAGCCAGUGUGCAGAGACUCUGAGGUAGACAGCAUCCUUCCUCCUGGAGGGGACCCCUGACCCAUUCAUCCCAGAUUAGAGAUAGGUUCCUAUAGAGCAAGAAUAGUCUGCUUUGAAAGGCUUUCAGGUGCCAGAGCGAACACCAACCUAGAAUGUACAGUACCUUUCUGAAAAUGAAGACUGUCUUCCUUGCUGAGAAUUUAAGAACAACCUCCUCUCUGCUUCUCUCUGUCUCCCCAAGAUGUUCUCCCUUCCAUCAUUUAAAAUAAAAUGUUUUUUUAAAAUGAAGAUUUGUUUUAUUUUUCCCUUGGUAUCUCAUUCAGAAGGGCAAGUGUUGGUUUGAAAUGAGCUGUUAAAAUGUUCACCCAUCUUAUUAAGCUGUAUGUUAAGAAAAAUACAAUUGAAUCCUUGUGAAUUAAUGCUUGCCCAGAACUCUCCAGAUAAUGAGUGUUCAAGCAUUGAUUAAGAUACAAUAAACCAUGAUUUUUCUAUAAGAGUACCAAAGCAUCACUGAUGAAUUUGUUUUUCUGGCACAGUGAGCAGAAGCACUUUUUGCCUUUUCCUUAUCAAAUGUGUUUGAAAGUGUGCUGGUCCCCUUUCCUGCCCUGGGAAGAACACUGGGGAUGUAAUUGAAUCUUUCUUAGAGAUUUGGGGAUCCUUAGGGUACCACAGGGUCACUGUUCUGAGGAUGAGUUCUGAUUGUACAUUGUAGAACUGUAAAUGGAGACGGUGUUAGAGAUUGGGCUAAAUCUGUCCUGAUUGUAGCUUGGAAAUGGUUGGUGGUUUUUUUUUUGUUUUGUUUUGUUUUUUUUGGUUAAAUUCUCAAUAUCUGUCUGUUUUGUCAUUUGCCUCCCUUGUUCUCUGAGUUGCAAGUGGCAGAAUAGAAAUUCAUGUCAGUUAGUUGAUUCUGGUUAGUUAAGGUUUUUACUUUAAAAUUUCAAUCCAAGUCUAGACGCUAAUUCUUUCUCUAGAAAAUGUAAACUCAUUCUCAAAAAUUUAGCAAAGCUAUUGUAUUUACAAAUAAGUUAUGUGCUGUAUUUCCAUAACAUUAUGCAGUUUUUUCCCUGUGUAAUGGUACACAGAAAUAUCAACUAAUUUUGCUUCUUCCUUAUAUGUAUUGAAAGGGUUUCAUCAACCCUGAAAGUUAGGAAGUUCUAGAGUUAGAAGGAAGACUUUUAAGAAUGUCAAUAAAGAGCAUAUAGAUUUCCCCAGAGGAAGCUCUCUAUCCAAGCUUAGGCCUUUGUUCACUGGACCAGUGUGGUACUGCAUCAUCAAGGGCUGCCUUUCUCAGGGCCCUCCCAGCUGACUUAAUGGUUGUCUGUAGUUAUCUUGUGAUAUCUUUGAUAUUCUACUGUUGAAAAAUCAGCUUGGGAGUCUUGGGGUUCUUUUGUGACAGCCUUGUUGUUGUUAUUACUUUGCUUUUGGAGUAAAGACACCAAGGAGGUUGUCUCAAGAAAUGGGUAGAAAAGUGGAGUGAGGCAUAAUGAAGUAUAAAUGUACCAUAGCCCGUGGGUUAGGCAGGCUCUGUUCCAGGUCUGGCUCUUAUGUGCGUGCUAAUGUUAAAAGGAAUUAUAGGUAGCAAUUCCCUUGUGUUGGUGGAAGAACAUAUUUUUUUCCUAACAUACGUUUCUAGCCUCCACUGACACAUCAUUAUUACAAACCGUCUCAUCACAUUCUGUGCUGUGGCACAUUGGCAGUGGUGUGGCCCUGCAGUCUCCUGGUGGUUGUCUUGUCCACAGAAAGCGGCCUCCGAGGCACUGUCUGUAGGGCCCACAACAAUGGCGAGGACAGGUUUCACACAGUCUGAGGAGUGCUGGAGGCCUCCAGGCCCUCCCAGGCAGUUGCUACACCCAUGCUGCUUUCCCUGGAGCUCAGAGGAAUAAUCAAGGUGUAGAGGUUUUAUAAUCACCAGCCUCCAGUCAUCUCUAACAGCCUGAUUGGGCAUUGGAGUUUUGAUCAUCAGUGAUCGUGAAUUUUUUUAAAACAGUUAGGAAGUGCCUGCAUCUGUGAACAGACCGUGAUAGAUGAGGUUCUUCCUGGGCACCAGGAAGGGUACCGCCCAGUGCAGGAUUCUCACGCCUGUGAAAGAGGCAGCGCGCUGUUAAAAAUACCUAGCUUACUUCGGGGGAGGAUUUGGCUGAAUACUGAUGAAGUUUAUGAAAUAUGAAUGUUGUGAAGUUGCUGUACGUAAGUGGUAGGCGUGUGUGAAAGAAGUAAGAAGCAAUAAAAGGGUGUAUAAAUGACACCCUGAAACUUGAUGGACUUAUGUACGUGACAAGAAUGGUGAUGUUUGGUUCUGUGCCUAAUGGGGGAGAAUAAACUGGCUUAAAAUCUGUAUGUCAAACUCAAUGUGGGACUAAAAAUUAAUACAUAUAGAGUCAUUUGACUUAUAAGCGAAGAGUGCUACUGAGGAGAAUCAGGCAGGUUGCAAAGAAUAGAGGGGAAAUGGAAUGGGGGAGAAACAGGAGGGACCAACACUUGAAUUUAUAAUAAAGUAUGGUAAUCACUGUUUUAAAUAAUCCAGACUAUUAACAACUAGGUAGAGAAUUGCUGCUAGGUAGAGAAUUCAUUAUAGCCCAACAAAAAGGUAUCGCUGUGAAUUUUAGGUUGUGCGCGAGAAAUCCUCUUGAUCCCCAAAGCAUCAAUGCAUGUACCGAGAAGCAGAACUGCACACAUUGUAAUUUUUUCUGUCUUAUCCUGAUUAAUUGACAGCCGACUGUAUGCCUCUUUCCUGAAGGUGACUUUACAAUCUCCAGACACAGACAUUUCUCUCAGAAGUGGAGUGAAGGAAGAACCACAUACUAAAGACGAUGAACAGAGGAAAAGUUGACACUUUGAGAAGUUAUGAUGAACUUGUCGAGAAUGCCAAUUGACAAAGGCAGGUAAGGGAAUACUUGAAGCAACAGAACAAGAACAGGUCUGAAGGGCAGGCCGAUGUGCUUCCGAGUAUGUUAAGGGAAUUGGCGGGCAUGUUUAUUGACUCUUCUAAUUAGUUUUAAAGAAACCUGAAGAAAUGGACAGAGACGGAGAAGAGACACCCUGAUGGGAUGCCGCCAUUCCAGGAGCAAAGAGACCUGUAUCAUCCCUUAUGAUCGAUGCCAAUCAUGGGGAGGAGUGACUGCUUAAAAGUUAAUGGAUUUCUGAGAGUCAAAUCAGAGAAGAAACAAGGGUAUAUUUCACAAGUUUAAAAACUUUUCAAUAAACUGCAUUGCUUUUCAUUUUCACUGUACAAUCAUAAAGCCAGUGAAUGAUGGUAAGAAGGCCACAGUGACAAUACAGCAUGUACUCCCAGGAAAGUUUGCAUGACAAGGAUAAUAUAUCUGAAAGGACAGGGCACCUGGAAGGGUGAACUGCCCAUAACUCUCAAUUGUGCAGGUAAUGAAGCAGGGGGAAAGCACGGCAAAUGAAAUACUUUGAUCAUCAAAGACGAUGCUUCUUUCAGUGAUCAUAUUGGUUGACUGAUGCUGACAAGGGUGAAAUUGCUGGAAUUGUAUUUUACCGUUUCUGGCACUCAUGACCCACUUUGGAUAAGCACGUUUCUUUGGAUAAGCACAGAAAGCACGUUUCUUUGAAUAAGCACAGAAAGUGCCUCAAGAUUGGUGAGCUGCUAAACUUUCUCAAGACUCCCAGGAGAUUCAGUAUAACAAAUGGGGUUCCCCUGAGAGGACUCUAGAAAAUUCUAAAGCUUGAUUUCUAAUCUUGAGCGUGAGGGUACAUGUUCACAUAUAUGUAGGGCUCACUCAUGAGACUGCCAUUGGUCAUGUUUUAUUAGGCUAAAACCUGUUAGAGCCAGCAGGGGUCUUAUGAAUCAUCUCAUCUACCCUCUCUCCCCUUUUAAACUGGCUUUCACAGAGGUCAGAAUAUGCCUGAGGCCCCAUUCCUAGUAGGUAACAAGGCUGUGACUAGAACACAGAUCUUCUUCCUCCCUAACUAUGUUCCUUCCACUUGUAUGCUGUGUCAAGAUGCUCAGAAGUUCCAGUAAGUUCCUUUCCACCAGGAGAUGCCCCCCUCCAAGGCUAUUACAAUAGGUAUGCGUUAACCAAGCCUUAGGUGGAGAUGCCCUUGAAGGUCAGCACACUUUGUCUUGGCUGCGCAUCAAGAGCAGAACAUUCUCAGUAUUAUUAUUUUUUAAUCCCAUCGGGCAUUUUUAUUAUUGUUUAAAAAUUAGCUAAUGAGCUUGUGGCUCUGCCAGUAAAGCCAUUCGGGGGCAUAGUGAAAAUUGUGUUUGCAUCUCCUGCUCUGAUUUAAUAGAAAGUAAAAUAAGGGACAUAGAGUAGGGCGUUCUGUUCUUGGAGCCUUUAAGCUGUCUGGAGCUGGAGGCAGCCAGCCCUAGCUGUGCAGUGGGGGAGGGCGUCUCUCAGCAGCUGUCAUUGUUCCUCAAGGCAGAGGGUUUGGGCCCUUUAUGGGGAUGCUCCCGAGCAAGUCUGCAAAUGGGAUACUAUGUAGUCAGUAAAACUCAUGUUGUAGGGGAAGAUGCUUGGAAUCUUGUGCUUGGUGAAAAGUCAC